UACGUAGGGUGCAAGCGUUAAUCGGAAUUACUGGGCGUAAAGCGUGCGCAGGCGGUUUUGUAAGUCUGACGUGAAAUCCCCGGGCUCAACCUGGGAAUUGCGUUGGAGACUGCAAGGCUAGAAUCUGGCAGAGGGGGGUAGAAUUCCACGUGUAGCAGUGAAAUGCGUAGAGAUGUGGAGGAACACCGAUGGCGAAGGCAGCCCCCUGGGUCAAGAUUGACGCUCAUGCACGAAAGCGUGGGGAGCAAACGGG
rnacentral:rRNA from 1 species